GUUGGCUGUGCUUGAGUGUGUAAUUGAAUAGAAUUCUAAGUGCUGUGUAUUCUUUAUCUGUUUACAGUUUUACAAAAACAAACAAAAGAGAGAAAUAUUAAUGUUAACGUUAAUGGAGAAGAUUCAUGAAAACUACUGAAUGAUUAAAAGCCAUAAACCAAAAUCUCACUUGUUCACUGUCUGCCAACUGGAUAGAGAAGUACAUGUCUAGUGAGGACAGAACACUUACAGUUUCAACUAAAGGAAGGGGAUGUAGAUCAUUGUGAUAGAUGAUCUGUUCAGAAAUACAAUGUGAUUUGUAUGUUCUAAUGUGCUGCACAUUAAACAUGUGUUGGGCUUUUUAAAAGGUAUUACCACCCCCUGGGGGCGUAUGUACUAAAAACACAUGUGAGCCAUGUUCGUGGGUAAUGCGUUGUAUGUUGGACAAGAAUUCUGUUAAUAAAAAUAUGUUCACUUUGA